rnacentral:rRNA from 1 species
AUUGUAGUCUGCAACCCGACUACAUGAAGCCGGAAUCGCUAGUAAUCGCGGAUCAGAAUGCCGCGGUGAAUACGUUCCCGGGUCUUGUACACACCGCCCGUCACACCAUGGGAGUCGGAAAUGCCCGAAGCCGGUGACCCAACCCGAAAGGGAGGGAGCCGUCGAAGGCAGGUCGGAUGACUGGGGUGAAGUCGUAACAAGGUAGC